rnacentral:rRNA from 1 species
UGGGGAAUUUUGGACAAUGGGCGCAAGCCUGAUCCAGCCAUGCCGCGUGCGGGAAGAAGGCCUUCGGGUUGUAAACCGCUUUUGNCAGGGAAGAAAUCUUCUGAGUUAAUACCUCGGGAGGAUGACGGUACCUGAAGAAUAAGCACCGGCUAACUACGUGCCAGCAGCCGCGGUAAUACGUAGGGUGCAAGCGUUAAUCGGAAUUACUGGGCGUAAAGCGUGCGCAGGCGGUUUUGUAAGACAGAGGUGAAAUCCCCGGGCUCAACCUGGGAACUGCCUUUGUGACUGCAAGGCUUAAGUGCGGCANAGGGGGAUGGAAUUCCGCGUGUAGCAGUGAAAUGCGUAGAUAUGCGGAGGAAACACCGAUGGCGAAAGGCAAUCCCCUGGGCCUGCACUGACGCUCAUGCACGAAAAGCGUGGGGAGCAAAACAGGAUUAGAUACCCUGGU